rnacentral:rRNA from 1 species
GACGAACGCUGGCGGCGUGCUUAACACAUGCAAGUCGAACGGAAAGGCCCCGCUUUUGUGGGGUGCUCGAGUGGCGAACGGGUGAGUAACACGUGAGUAACCUGCCCUUGACUUUGGGAUAACUUCAGGAAACUGGGGCUAAUACCGGAUAGGAGCCCCUGCUGCAUGGUGGGGGUUGGAAAGUUUCGGCGGUUGGGGAUGGACUCGCGGCUUAUCAGCUUGUUGGUGGGGUAGUGGCUUACCAAGGCUUUGACGGGUAGCCGGCCUGAGAGGGUGACCGGCCACAUUGGGACUGAGAUACGGCCCAGACUCCUACGGGAGGCAGCAGUGGGGAAUAUUGCACAAUGGGCGGAAGCCUGAUGCAGCAACGCCGCGUGCGGGAUGACGGCCUUCGGGUUGUAAACCGCUUUCGCCUGUGACGAAGCGUGAGUGACGGUAAUGGGUAAAGAAGCACCGGCUAACUACGUG